rnacentral:misc_RNA from 1 species
GUGAUUCAGUAACAGGACACACUCCUUGGUAAAACAUGUUAACCCAUAUAAAUCACUUAUACACGCUAUCCACAACCGAUGUGGAAUCCAAUGUUUAACUUAUUCAGUAUGCUAAGACAUAUAUUAAGAAAUAUCAUCAAAAUAUAUAAACCUCACCUAAAUAUUUAAAAAUCAUUCAAAUAUCCAAUUAUCCAAAAAUUGAUCAAAUAUUCAAACAUCCAAUUGUAGUUUUAAUGUAAAUAAAAAAUCAUAAUAAAUUUAAAAGUGUUAAAAUAAACCUGUUAACCUCAUAAUCUGAUUAAAUAAAUAAAUUAUUAAUUUUUUAUCCUAUUAAAUUAAGCGGAUCAUCCUAAUUAAAAUUUAAUCUAAUCUUAUUUAUGAUAAACCUAAAAUAAUUUAACUAUGUAUCAAGUCGUGUCCUGUAAAAAAUUGUCAUAUCCAAUUGUUGCGACCAGCCACUCACGCCUACAACCCCUAUUGCCAUCCACGCACACUCCUCAGUGAAACACCAAGAGCACGCCACCCGUAUUGUUGCUUCCUCUCCCUACCACCAAUCAAACCUAGCUCCUAUCUCUUAUGGUCAAAGCUUUAGAAAGCUUUUCCUUUUUUUAUUGGUACAGGUGAUUUCUUGGUUGAUUUCUUUGUUUAGGCUUUUGAUUUAUUGGUUGUGUAAAUCUAGAGGGGAAAGUGAGAGUUAGAGGGAAAGAAAAUUAAAAAAAAUAGAGAGAAAAAUAAGGUCAUUAGACUUACUUUAUCGUUAACUUCUAUUUGAAAUCAAUAGCGAUGAUACUGAUAAUGGUAGAGAGAUCUAAGAAAUGAUGAUGGAAAUUUUAAACAAACUGAUAAAAUAAAUAAUUAGGGAUCCCUUAUCAAAAAAUCAACAGUAGGACGUAUGGCCUGAAAAACGUUGUAGUAAGUUGUCUCAGUUGGAUGUAUUGAAUCCCAAAAUACAUAUUUGGACGCAUCAGGACACAGAAAUGAUUUUGGAUUGCACAAUAUUCCUGCUUCCAGGUAACCCGUUCCACAACACCCACUGUUCACCACGUCAAACUCAGAGCUUUGUACCCCUUGGAUCAUGUCUGUGAGUGGCCCGUAUGCAUCAAAGAGAUCUACUCUGACGUCGGGAUAUCGAUUAUGUACGAGAUUUAAUUCAUUUUGGAGCAUUUGGUUGAAUUGUUUUCCAAUGGAGGAAAAAUAUUCAAUACAACCACGUUCUAAAAUGAAAUUCUUGGAGAAAAGUGUGAUAACAAUCGGCAAACAACCCAAUGGAGGUAGUCCGGUUACCGAUAUUCUUUUUGCUCCUUCGUUGAUCAAAUCCUGUACUAAUUGCAGAGUUUUAUGCAAUAUGAACUGCUGGUAAGCUGAAACUGAGAAGGUCUUCCGUCGAACAGGCAAGGUAAAAUAGUUAACAACAAAGUCAUUUGUUCCAGCACUUAUAAUAAACAAAGCUUUCUUGAUAUGAUUUUCUGUUGUUUUCUUUCCAAUCGCAGACUCCAGCCUUUUCUUGUACUCUUUAAAAUACUCUACUUGCUGUGGGAUCCCUAUCACAUUGCUUAUUUUUGGUGUGAGAGGGUCAAAUCCGGUGCCACCAGAGGCAAAGCUGACUCCUGUCAUAAGCUCCUCAAUGCCAAGACUUGGGUCCAAAUAUGGAGGAACAAAAUCUUUCACACCAACGUACGAAGCGAUAAAAUCAGUGGCGAGGCGUCCGUUGGUGAACCUUCCGGUGGGCUCGUGAUUUGGAAAAUCUUUUCCAUAAGGUGGAAAGUUGCCCUUGAAAAUUGUCUUGACAAAGUUGUUGUUUCCAGAGUCUACUGUGGAAUCUCCAAACACUAAAACUGCAGAAACCGAAUUAUGAUUCAAAGCCCUUGGACUUGGUAGGGCUUCAAUUUCUUCAGCAAAUAAGGUUGACAAAGAGACAAUUAGGAGAAGAAGAAGAAGAAGAUAGUGUUUGUGACAUAUAUCCAUUGAUAUAUCUGAGUGAACUUUGAAUGCAUCGCUAAGUCCUGAUGAAUGAAUAUAGAUAUACAUAUAUACACAUUAUGGAAC